AUUGAACGCUGGCGGCAGGCCUAACACAUGCAAGUCGAGCGAGCGGCGGACGGGUGAGUAAUGUAUGGGGACUGCCCGAUAGCGGGGGAUAACUACUGGAAACGGUGGCUAAUACCGCAUACUAUCGGAUAACCCAUAUGGGAUUAGCUAGUAGGUGGGGUAAAGGCUCACCUAGGCGACGAUCUCUAGCUGGUCUGCGAGGAUGAUCAACCACACUUGGACUGAGACGCGGCCCAGGCUCCUGCGGAGGCCGCAGUGGGUAAUAUGGAACAAUUGGAGCAAGCCUGAUGCAGCCAUGCCGCGUGUAUGAAGAAGGCCUUGGGGUUGUAAAGUACUUUCAGCGGGGAGGCGUUACCCGCAGAAGAAGCACCGGCUAACUCCGUGCCAGCAGCCGCGGUAAUAC
rnacentral:rRNA from 1 species